AUUGAACGCUGGCGGCAGGCCUAACACAUGCAAGUCGAGCGGACGAAGGGAGCUUGCUCCUGGAUUCAGCGGCGGACGGGUGAGUAAUGCCUAGGAAUCUGCCUGGCAGUGGGGGAUAACGUCCGGAAACGGGCGCUAAUACCGCAUACGUCAUGAGGGAGAAAGUGGGGGAUCUUCGGACCUCGCGCUAUCAGAUGAGCCUAGGUCGUAUUAGCUAGUUGGUGGGGUAAGGGCCUACCAAGGCGACGAUCCGUAACUGGUCUGAGAGGAUGAUCAGUCACACUGGAACUGAGACACGGUCCAGACUCCUACGGGAGGCAGCAGUAGGGAAUAUUGGACAAUGGGCGAAAGCCUGAUCCAGCCAUGCCGCGUGUGUGAAGAAGGUCUUCGGAUUGUAAAGCACUUUAAGUUGGGAGGAAGGGCAGUAAGUUAAUCCCUUGCUGUCUUGACGUUACCAACAGAAUAAGCACCGGCUAACUUCGUG
rnacentral:rRNA from 1 species